UACGAAGGGGGCUAGCGUUGCUCGGAAUCACUGGGCGUAAAGGGUGCGUAGGCGGGUCUUUAAGUCAGGGGUGAAAUCCUGGACUCAACUCCAGAACUGCCUUUGAUACUGAGGAUCUUGAGUUCGGGAGAGGUGAGUGGAACUGCGAGUGUAGAGGUGAAAUUCGUAGAUAUUCGCAAGAACACCAGUGGCGAAGGCGGCUCACUGGCCCGAUACUGACGCUGAGGCACGAAAGCGUGGGGAGCAAACAGG
rnacentral:rRNA from 1 species